CCCCUCAGGAACAGCACGUGACAGUCAGAGGCCAUGUCUGCAACAAGAAUGAAAAGACCAGUAAAUUCACAUGGCUGCUUAUUAAAGAAUAACACACGCAGACCUUCGGGAGGAGUUGGAGAUGUGUGGGGGAAUUAACCGGAGAGAAGCUGAUGGCAGCCAGAGACAGCACUGAAGGGCUCUGGGAGACCUCUUCCGAUAGAGGUUAAGCACUUUAACUCUGGCUCCUGCCACUGGUCUCCCGGUCUGGAGGAACAACAGGAUUCGGAAGACAUCAGCAGUUACAGUCAGACUAGGAGACAGCUCAUCCAAGUAUGCUGGGACACACUUUGUGCAAGCAUGUACAGGCACUGACUCAUAGUUUCAAACCCCACUACCAUGGCUCACGUGCACCAAUAACACGUCUUCUUUUGUCUCGUUUCCAGUUAGCAGCAAGUGUUCUCUUACCCUGGGGCGGAGAAAGUGGUCAAAUCUGUUUUAUUCCCGGCUGACUAUCUCACAUUCCAUUUGGCAACCUGCCUCCACUGCUUUCUGCCCUGAAAAGAUGGAUAAGACAAAUUCCUUUACUGGAAUGAAAUACACUUUAGUAGUAAUUUAAGU